rnacentral:rRNA from 1 species
GACGAACGCUGGCGGCGUGCUUAACACAUGCAAGUCGAACGGUGAAGCGCCUUCCUUUUUGGUGGGUGUGGAUGAGUGGCGAACGGGUGAGUAACACGUGAGUAACCUGCCCCCUUCUUCUGGAUAACCGCAUGAAAGGGUGGCUAAUACGGGAUAUUCUGGGUCUGUCGCAUGAUGGGUCUGGGAAAGAUAUUGUUUCGGUGGGGGAUGGGCUCGCGGCCUAUCAGCUUGUUGGUGGGGUGAUGGCCUACCAAGGCGGUGACGGGUAGCCGGCCUGAGAGGGUGGACGGUCACACUGGGACUGAGACACGGCCCAGACUCCUACGGGAGGCAGCAGUGGGGAAUAGUGCACAAUGGGCGCAAGCCUGAUGCAGCGACGCCGCGUGAGGGAUGGAGGCCUUCGGGUUGUGAACCUCUUUCGCCAGUGAAGCAGGACUGCCUCGUGUGUGGGUGGGUUGACGGUAGCUGGAUAAGAAGCGCCGGCUAACUACGUG